rnacentral:rRNA from 1 species
AGAGUUUGAUCCUGGCUCAGGAUGAACGCUGGCGGCGUGCCUAAUACAUGCAAGUCGAGCGAACGGACGAGAAGCUUGCUUCUCUGAUGUUAGCGGCGGACGGGUGAGUAACACGUGGAUAACCUACCUAUAAGACUGGGAUAACUUCGGGAAACCGGAGCUAAUACCGGAUAAUAUUUUGAACCGCAUGGUUCAAAAGUGAAAGACGGUCUUGCUGUCACUUAUAGAUGGAUCCGCGCUGCAUUAGCUAGUUGGUAAGGUAACGGCUACCAAGGCAACGAUGCAUAGCCGACCUGAGAGGGUGAUCGGCCACACUGGAACUGAGACACGGUCCAGACUCCUACGGGAGGCAGCAGUAGGGAAUCUUCCGCAAUGGGCGAAAGCCUGACGGAGCAACGCCGCGUGAGUGAUGAAGGUCUUCGGAUCGUAAAACUCUGUUAUUAGGGAAGAACAUAUGUGUAAGUAACUGUGCACAUCUUGACGGUACCUAAUCAGAAAGCCACGGCUAACUACGUGCCAGCAGCCGCGGUAAUACGUAGGUGGCAAGCGUUAUCCGGAAUUAUUGGGCGUAAAGCGCGCGUAGGCGGUUUUUUAAGUCUGAUGUGAAAGCCCACGGCUCAACCGUGGAGGGUCAUUGGAAACUGGAAAACUUGAGUGCAGAAGAGGAAAGUGGAAUUCCAUGUGUAGCGGUGAAAUGCGCAGAGAUAUGGAGGAACACCAGUGGCGAAGGCGACUUUCUGGUCUGUAACUGACGCUGAUGUGCGAAAGCGUGGGGAUCAAACAGGAUUAGAUACCCUGGUAGUCC